rnacentral:tRNA from 1 species
GGGGUGUUAGCUCAGCUGGGAGAGCGCUACGCUGGCAGCGUAGAGGUCAGGGGUUCGAAUCCCCUACGCUCCACCA